AUAUAUAUAUAUAUAUAUAUAUAUAUAUACAGGGUUAUUGACUGAUUUACUUCAGGAUCUCAUCAAACAUUUCUGUUGAAUUAAUUCCUGAGGCCUUUUUUUAUGAACCAUGAACCCAACCACCAGGGGGGCAUGCUGGCUUUGCUUCCUAAUGUAGCAGACCGAGAUGGAACCAGGGGAGGGGAGGAAGAGAGAAGGGGGACGUAAGCAGGGUUUCAUGAGGUUGCCAAAGAGAUUAACUUUGUGACAGUAAUCAUAUUGGAUCUGUGUGCUUGCAGUGCACAGCCAAACAAAAGAGGACGAGAGAAAAAGUGUAUGAAAACAUUCAUAAGCAGAACAAUAUUGAAUUGAUACUAAAUCAAAUUCAUAAUUAUCAUCCAGUGAGUUUAAUUUGCUUUGAAAUUGAGACUGGAUUUCCUGGUUUCACACACGUCAGGCUUCAAACUUAUACAGUGAGCCUUUGAGUGAGGGAACCUCUUGAGAUAUUCGGAUAUCUCCAAAACAUUUAAAUGUGACACGUUAGAAACAUGUUAAAAACACAUGCAUGCCACUGUUUGAUUGAAAGAAGGACUGAAUUCAAGAUUUCAGGUGUGAUUCAGAAAUUAAACAUUAAAACAAAUGGAAGCACUGAGAUGAUGUAUUGUGGAUUUUUCAAGUCAAAGGAAAAUGAUGCACAAGUUAUGAUUACGAAUGCAAAUGUUUUUCCAAUGGGUGUCAACUGUGGUUUACAUCUCUGUGGACUGACAAAGGCCUGACACUGUGUGCUAACAAUUGGGAAAAUAACCCCCCAGAAAUGUAAUAGAGAGGCUAUAUAUGUACAAUGUUCCCAUGUAAUUGUUUUCCGCCCCAGUAAGAUGAAGUUAAUUAAUCACCUCAAACAAUCGGUCAGCCCAUAUCCAUCUCACCUGGAAAGAAGAGGAAAAAAAGUUGUUUAACCGAGAGAGCAAAUAAACGUGUAGAAUAUGUGUGGGAUGUUGCGAAAUAAAGCAAGGAAAACUUUUUUAUUAAAAAGAAAAUGUAUUUCGUAUUUUUUUACCUCAAGAUACGUGACUUGAAGAUUUAGUACUACUACAUGUAGCCUCUACAUUUUGUUCAUCAUAUGGGAAAAUAUAAUGAGAAUCCAUAUAUCUGCAACCAGGGACAAGAAAACCCCAGUUAAAGACCAAUUCAUCUCGUUUUACCGCUAGAGUGCAUGAAAUACACUUAUUAUAUGAAAGCCCUUCUCACUAAGGCCAAUGACAAGGCCUAAGCCUAUAGUAAUUUUACCCUAGUACUGAGUGUACUAGUGAACAAAGAGGUUAUUUUAACACGAUGUACAGCGAAACAAGUGUAUUGG
ensembl:lncRNA